AUUGAACGCUGGCGGCAGGCCUAACACAUGCAAGUCGAGCGGAUGAAGGGAGCUUGCUCCUGGAUUCAGCGGCGGACGGGUGAGUAAUGCCUAGGAAUCUGCCUGGUAGUGGGGGAUAACGUCCGGAAACGGGCGCUAAUACCGCAUACGUCCUGAGGGAGAAAGUGGGGGAUCUUCGGACCUCACGCUAUCAGAUGAGCCUAGGUCGGAUUAGCUAGUUGGUGGGGUAAAGGCCUACCAAGGCGACGAUCCGCAACUGGUCUGAGAGGAUGAUCAGUCACACUGGAACUGAGACACGGUCCAGACUCCUACGGGAGGCAGCAGUGGGGAAUAUUGGACAAUGGGCGAAAGCCUGAUCCAGCCAUGCCGCGUGUGUGAAGAAGGUCUUCGGAUUGUAAAGCACUCUAAGUUGGGAGGAAGGGCAGUAAGUUAAUACCUUGCUGUUUUGACGUUACCAACAGAAUAAGCACCGGCUAACUUCGUG
rnacentral:rRNA from 1 species